rnacentral:misc_RNA from 1 species
AACUUUUAGCAACGGAUCUCUUGGCUCUUGCAACGAUGAAGAACGCAGUAAAGUGCGAUAUGUAGUGCGAUUUGCAUGAAUCUGUGAGUCAUCUAAUUUUUGAACGCAACUUGCGCCUUUUACGAGGCAUGUCUGUUUGAGUGCCGUAAUCUUCUGCAGCAAUGCGAUUUGACUCUUGUCUUUGUUGACCGAGUUUAAAAGAAGCUAGAGGAUGGUCAGUUUGGACUAGUCCGAGUGCUAAGCAUUCUUGGGUCUAGUGCUAGAUUGUUCAUUACAAUUAUUUUUAUUUUGGCCUCAAAUCAGGCAAGACUACCCGCUGAAUUUAAGCAUAUCAAUAAGCGGAGGCU